rnacentral:tRNA from 1 species
GAAAUAUUAAGAUAAAUAUUCUAUUAGCCUUCAAAGUUAAAAAUGUAUCUUAUGUGAAUUUACAGUUCA